GACGAACGCUGGCGGCGUGCUUAACACAUGCAAGUCGAACGGUAAGGCCCUUCGGGGUACACGAGUGGCGAACGGGUGAGUAACACGUGGGUGAUCUGCCCUGCACUUCGGGAUAAGCCUGGGAAACUGGGUCUAAUACCGGAUAGGACCACUGCCUGCCGGGGUGGUGGUGGAAAGCUUUUGCGGUGUGGGAUGGGCCCGCGGCCUAUCAGCUUGUUGGUGGGGUGAUGGCCUACCAAGGCGACGACGGGUAGCCGGCCUGAGAGGGUGACCGGCCACACUGGGACUGAGAUACGGCCCAGACUCCUACGGGAGGCAGCAGUAGGGAAUAUUGCACAAUGGGCGCAAGCCUGAUGCAGCGACGCCGCGUGAGGGAUGACGGCCUUCGGGUUGUAAACCUCUUUCAGCACCGACGAAGCGCAAGUGACGGUAGGUGCAGAAGAAGGACCGGCCAACUACGUGCCAGCCGCCGCAGUAA
rnacentral:rRNA from 1 species